ACUUAGUGAUGGGAACUAAACUAAAUUUAAAAAGUUAAACUAAAACUAAGUUUCAACUAACAAAAAGUAGUUAAACUAAAAGUUUAUCAUGAAUUUCAAAAUGUAGUUAAACUAAACUAAAGAUUAAUCAUACCAUACAAACCUUUUCAUAACUUUGGGGGGGCGGGAUCUAGACCUAUCUAAAAUCAUUCGACUCUAUGCCUGCAGCUUGAACUAAUUCUUUUAACAUUGUAGAGCAUAAUAACAUCAGUAUUGAGGAAGAUGUUUCUUACAUAAACGUUAAUGCACAAUAAAAUUUAAAAAAAAAGAUGUCUAAAUAAAUAUGUGCGCUUGUAUAUUUGCCUUGAAUUAAAACCUUUACCUGGUACUUUUACAAAAAAAAUUAUAUUAACUUAUUAUUAUACCGGUAAAGUUUAAAAUCUCAUUAAAUAACAGAUUUAGAAUUUCAGAUUUAGAUCUAGUAACGAAAGAUAUAGAAACAAAAUUUUGGAGUGUUAUUUUCUUGUCUGACCACUCAAAAACACUAUUGCAUAACCGUUAAAAGUGUGCAUAGAAAAAACCAUGGGGUGGUCUUGUCACUAUGGGCCGCACACUGCAGUACACUAGACCUACAUGUGUCUAUGUCUAUCUGAUCAGGUUGUCAAAAUCACUGUCUGUUUACUUUUUGGGCAGGAAGGGUGUGUACAAAUUUCAGUGUAAAGAUAGAUCUACGAACAUGCUUGACUAAACAUGGGCCAGUGUGUUAUUUUCUUGUUUGACCACUCAACAUUAAGCAAACACAAUUGCAUAACGUGCAAUGAAAAAAAAAAAACAGGGUAGUCUUGUAGUAUCAUUGACUACACAUGUACAGUACACUAGGCCUACAGACUGUUAAAAUCAGUCGGACACAGUCUAUUUACUUUUUGGUCUGGGAGGGUAUGGAUUAGGAUGUUGUUUUUUUCUAGAGUUCAUUAUGCUAAUGCUUUUAGAUCUAUAAUUGAGACAUAGAUCUCAAUAAUAAGUCUUAAGACUAGAAUCUAUUAUAUGUCUCUGCUUCAUCAAAGGUUUAAGCUAUAAAAAGGUUGUACUUGAUGUUCCUGCAGAGAAUGAAUUGACUAAAACUACUAAAUAUUGACCUAACUCGCUAAUCAGAUUCCCACUAUAAACAGAAAUUAAACACCAGAACAUGAUUUUAGAAAAAACUCGGAACAACUCUAUUCAUAAUAUUGCAUAAAAGCUUUUGGUAAACAAAUGUUUAGCAACAUUUAAUACUACUGCUAGUUUCAAGUGCAGAUAUUGACUCACGGGUAGCUUCUACUUUACCCUCUUCAAAUGCAGACUGACAAAAUAGUUGUUAACUGCAUCACUCUUUGAUAAUCAAAGGUUGUUGAUAUCACAAGACCAGAAAACUGGGAUGUGCUUUUCAACCGCUACUACAUGUUGAAAAUUUUACAAAUUUUAAUUAAACAUUUUAGUUUGUAACUAAAAAAAAUAAUUAAACUAUGAUUUUAACUAAACUAUUUUUUUCUAGUUAAACUUUGGCCUUAAUUAAUUUGUUUUAGUUAAACUAAAAGUUUCUAGCUUUUUAAUUAACUCUUGCACAGUGAUAUAUAAUGUCUGAUUAGAUUUAAGUAGAUCUAGAUAUAGAUAGAUCUAGAUCUAAUGAGACUAAUAAAAGUCCAACUACAAGUCUAGAUUUAUCUAGAGUUCUAAUCUAGAUUCUUGAUCAAGAAAAUAUCAUCUAAUGAGUGAUUUAUAGUAGAUAAAUCUUUACUAGGAAUUACUAGUGUCUAGAAAAUCUAGGUUUAGUCCUAGAUUUUAGUGAUAAUGAAUGAUACAUUAUUUAAAGAAUAUAAUAAAUAUAAUUAAUUCUACAUUAUUUUAAAAAAUUCAGCGACAUCUUUUUAAAGUCGCUGCAACAGGCCAGUUUAAAAAACGCUGGUGGACAAAAUUUCCUAAAAUGUUUUCAAAGUCUGUUCCCAUCACUGAUUGAAGUUAAUGUUAAACUAUUGGUAGAGUUAGUGAGACAAAAAAUUCAAGUUCAAAAAUGGAGGCAUGUGUUUGUGCGUGCUAAAUAAAAACUUGAAUGUAAUAGCCACUAACUAUCAGAAAAAAAAUUUUAUUCUUCUUCUUCUUCUUGAAACUGUCAGUUAGAGUUGAGCCUUCGGCUAUUUGGAACUCUAGGCCAGCAAAAGUGAACAAUAGCUCUCUCACCUCACCAGCCUGAAUGAGAACAGUGUACACUGGCGGGUGGGUCAGACUCACGGCAAGAGGCCGCGUACACUAAGACCCCCGCCAUUUUCCUUUUCUAUACCAGGCUAACCAUGCGGGACACGCCAUUAAUGUAACAGCCCCUUGAGAAACAGCGCCUGGAUUGUGACAAGGUUGUGGGAGCUUUUUUACAACUCUGCGCAGUGCAAGAGGAUGCUCUCGCACCCCCUUAGGCACCCCCACGGGAGUCUUGUUUUGCUACCCUUUAACUUCGUUUCCUCCUACGAUGGUUUCCACCCGGGCACCACUAUGAGGCAGGGUAGCAUGCCCGGGAAAAAAAUUUGUAUCAAAUGAUGAUUAAUUUAUAUGUCAAGAUAAUGUCAAGAUUUUGUAACCACUUAUUAAUCUGCGUGUCAUGUGUUUAUCUCAAAUACCAACUAUCUUUAUUUUCCAACAAAGGAACCAAGGCCUUCUGAAAAUCCUAUUUUGAAAAUUGUUUUAUUUGGAUUCAUGUCAAAAUAUUUAAAAGAUCCAUUUUGUAUAAUUUAAAUAAUAAUUGUGAAAUUCAACUUGAUAUAGCCUAGAUUUUAGUCCUACUCAUAAUAUUCUGUAUGUAUAAAUGAUUAUUUUUUCAAUGAGGUUUAUAGGCAUAUUAGUCAAAUAUUGGAUAUGUAGCAUUAAACAAUAUAAAAUUUGUUUAUAGUAGGGGUGCACUGGAUAGUACUUUUUUAUAUCCGGCCGGAGCCGAAUACCUAAGUGUCUUGUAAAUAGCUUGUAUUGCUGAGCAUUUUACGAAACUGUUAAUAACAUACCUAUAUUUGUUUGUUUUUUUCUCCUUUUAUAUACCUUAUUGUUUUAAACUCUGUUACUGAUUGAUUUAUAAAAGGUUAACAGUAUAAACAAAAAUUAAUCUGUGUAGCAUGAGCGUGUCUGUAUGUAUGUACAAGGCCACCAACUAUAAAGGCUGUGUGUUGGAGGGUCAAUGUAAAAUAUGUUAGUAAAUAUUUAACUAGUUACUAAUGUAAAUCUCUCAUCUGGCUUGUAUGGUGGUUGGAUGUAUGUGUUCAAGAAUUUCUGACCAACAACUUGUAAUUUUAAGUCCAAAGACUGCUUCUGGAUUCAAGGGCAUAAUACUGAUAGCUGUUAGUUAAUAGUUGGAAUCUGAAGCGUUGUCGGUCAUAUAUUUAUUAAUCCAUUUGCGGCAAACGAUAUUUUAUUAACAGCAGGAACAUCUAUUAUACCUACUCAUAGCCAGAGCCUUAAAUGUUGCGAAACAUAGAUUUAAUUGUAGUCUGUAGGCCUUUUAUUGAUAUCUAUGCUUAGAUCUACUGUUAUAUAGAUCUAAGAGAAUUAGGAAAACCAAAAAAAACAAAAACAUAUUUGUUUUAUUUUAUUGUGCAACGAACGUUUGUUCAGCGCCCUAAAUGACAUUUCUCUCCAAGUAAACAAACUUAGUCUCAUCAUCUAGUUACCUCUAGACAGUGUCAAUAUUUCUCAACAAUCUGCGUUAAUCCAUUCUGGCUUAAGAAUGGUCAAUGUCUAUCAAUACAUUGUCAUGGAUUAAACAAAUAAGAAGUUGAGCAUGUUGAGUCUCUUGAGCCCUCCCUUAAAAGAUACCCCUGGUCAGUGUCUGUUUGGCUUGUAGUCCAGCCUCCUAAUUGAGACUUAAAGUAAACAAACUUAUUGUCCCGGCCAAAAGUAUAAAAGGUGUGGCAUGUGGUCCAGACCCUUGAUUGACAACCUAUCUCAUAAUAAACAAACUCAUACCAGAUUAACCUUAUAAAGAUUUGGCUUGUAGUCCCGCCCCUAAUAAAAAUUCUUCUCUAAGUAAACAAACUCAGUUCCCUCAUAAGAUGUGACCUCUGGAAAGUGUCAACACGUUGACAUCUGGCUUGAUGUGGUAAGCUGCCUAUCUGUGAACUCAAUGUUAUGGACUAUACAAACAAAAAGAGGUGGGGGUUGCUCAUCUCUACCUCUGGAGAUAUACCCGCACAUCUAGACAGAUUAUCAGCGUGGCGUAGUUAAGGAAUAUUACAUGUUUACUAGACCACUCAAAAGUCAAGACAAGCUUUUAAAAUGUGCAUGACAUCGUUGCUAUGUCUUAUAUUUUUGUGGAAAUAAAUUUUACUAUUGGAGUUUUUGUAGCUGCCAGAGUGGAUCAAGGUGGAUGUGAUAUCUAUUUAUAAACAUGUAUACCAGUAUAUUGUAAUCAGUGAUUUUCAUUUUUUGGUAACAGUUUGUUUCCAUUUAGAUUGCAGUCUUUCUUAUGUGAAAACAAGAUGUCUGCAUAAUCUUAGAGGACAUUUUUAAACUCAUUUAAAUUUAUUAGAUGAAAUAUUUAUAAAACAUACAAUGUAAAUUGUUUUGUAAAAUGAUUAUACAUUUGAGUUCAUAAAAAUGUGUAAUUUUUUAAUGGCAUCAUGUUUCUGCUUAUCUGUAUCUGAUACUGAUGAUGUGUUUUCUAAAUCUAUUACUGCUUCACCAUUGAGGAAAAACUGCACAUGUUUAAACCCAUAUCUGAAGUAACUUUCCAGAAAAAAAAAAGAUGUAUGUUGGACAGUGUCCAAAAUUUCAAAUUAUUUCCUUCAAAAUGUUAUCAAUUUCCUCCAUAACUUCAUAACAUUAUUGAAUUUUUUCCUUCAGAACACAAUUGUAAAUUAUCUUUUUUUUUUUUUUUUUUUUUUUUGUUAAACCACAAUGAGAGUCUAAUAACUAAUAGUCUAGCAAACAAUUACUUAUAAUUUGCCUUAUUAUUAUACAAUAUUAAGAUUUACUUCUGCAGGGAUGAAAAACUUUUUUUAAAAUACAAUAGACAUGUAUAAUAAUAAAGUACAUUCACACCUGACUCACUCAUAAUUUACAUGUGAAAAGUUUAUAUCAGAUUGUUUCUAUUUAAUGAUUUGAUUGCCAUCAGUGUCUUGUAUCUCUUUUGUGAUGGUAAAGUCACAAAAUGUAGGAAACCCCACUGUGUUUGGUCCAGUAUGUGGGUUAUUAUAUGUAAGUCUAUUGUAUUUUCUAUAUUAUUUUACAAAUGUAAAAAAAAUAAAAAGAAAUUGUUACACUGUU